rnacentral:rRNA from 1 species
UACGGAGGAUCCAAGCGUUGUCCGGAUUAUUGGGUUUAAAGGGUGCGUAGGCGGAUAAUUAAGUCAGUGGUGAAAUCUUGCGGCUCAACCGUAAAAUUGCCAUUGAAACUGAUUAUCUUGAGUACAGUUGAGGUGGGCGGAAUGUAUCAUGUAGCGGUGAAAUGCUUAGAUAUGAUACAGAACACCUAUUGCGAAAGCAGCUCACUAAACUGCAACUGACGCUGAGGCAACGAAAGCGUGGGGAUCAAACAGG